rnacentral:rRNA from 1 species
AGUGAACGCUGGCGGUAGGCCUAACACAUGCAAGUCGAACGGCAGCACAGUAAGAGCUUGCUCUUACGGGUGGCGAGUGGCGGACGGGUGAGGAAUACAUCGGAAUCUACUUUUUCGUGGGGGAUAACGUAGGGAAACUUACGCUAAUACCGCAUACGACCUACGGGUGAAAGCAGGGGAUCUUCGGACCUUGCGCGAUUGAAUGAGCCGAUGUCGGAUUAGCUAGUUAGCGGGGUAAAGGCCCACCAAGGCGACGAUCCGUAGCUGGUCUGAGAGGAUGAUCGGCCACACGGGAGCUAAGACACGGUCCGGACUCCUACGGGGGCCAGCAGUGGGAAAUAUUGAACAAGGGGCGCAGGCCGCAUCAGGCCAUACCGCGUGGUGGAGGAAGGCCUUCGGUUGGUAAAGCCCUUUUGUUGGGAAAGAAAAGCAGCGGGUUAAUACCCCGUGUUUCGACGGUACCCCAAGAAAAAGGCACCGCCUACUUUCUG